GCCUUAAAUCUAAUGGGUGGUAUUCGCGAAAGCGGCCUAAGUUAAAUCAGUGGCCUAAACCUGGUUUAAACCAUGGACUAUCUUUUUUGCUAUUCUCGAAGGUGGCCUAAAGAUAAGCCAGGCUUAAAUACGUCAUAGUUCGGCCUAACUUUAGGCCGCUCAGAGGGCAGGUUUAAAUACGUCAUAGUUCGGCCUAACUUCGCGUGACGUCACUUUUUAAGUUAAUCGACUGUCCGCGGAGAGUGAACGGUUCUUUUCAAUUGAUGCAUGGGGAUGAAAAAAGAAGGCCUCUCCCAAGCUAUGGUGUCCCGCCUUGUGAAGUCCAUCUCAAUAGCCAUUGCCAGGAGAUGGGAGCAAUACAUCACAAUUCCUUCAACAAGAGAGGCAGUCCUGCAGAGUGCAGACCCAACAUGAAUGUUAUAAUUACUGCCAUUUCCCUGGCGUUAAUAUGGUCGGUGCUAUUGAUUGCACCCACGUAGGCAUCUCCAAGCCAGUUGGCCCAACGCCAGUUAUUUCCUGAACAGGAAAAAUAUAAACUACAUUUUUCUUGGAAAGUCUGCUGGAUGAUGUUUUUCUUCAGUAAAAUAAAUGAAGGCAAAUUCCCUGAUAACUGAGACAAAUUCAGAGAGAGGAAGGAGAACUACUGAGCUGCUGAAUUUCUGACAGACAUACUUGCAAGGACUAUGAAGUUCUACUUAGCCUCUUCAAUGAACCAGACUCCAUCUGCUGUAACUGUGACUGCAUGGGGAUCAAAACCUUUGUAUUAUAAUCCUCAUAACAUGAAGCUAUGGUAACAAACAAGCAACCAUUGAUAAAAAGCCUGAUAUGUCCUUGUUGUGUGUGUGAACCACAAAGCAACCAUCACUCAUAAGGAUAUUUUUAUGUACAUCAGAUGUUCAUUGUUUCACUGGAAAAAUUGUGAUUUUGAUUCAUUUAAGAAAUCUUGUUUCAUAAUGUGUUUUAUAAUAUAGUGCAAGUCAUGAUAUAACAGAUUCCCUGCAAAAGAAACACGGCUCAAAAGUAGACUAUGCUUAAUUUGU